UACGAAGGGUGCAAGCGUUAAUCGGAAUUACUGGGCAUAAAGCGCGCGUAGGUGGUUCAGUAAGUUGGAUGUGAAAUCCCCGGGCUCAACCUGGGAACUGCAUCCAAAACUGCUGAGCUAGAGUACGGUAGAGGGUGGUGGAAUUUCCUGUGUAGCGGUGAAAUGCGUAGAUAUAGGAAGGAACACCAGUGGCGAAGGCGACCACCUGGACUGAUACUGACACUGAGGUGCGAAAGCGUGGGGAGCAAACAGG
rnacentral:rRNA from 1 species